UUAUAUUUUUAUCACUUUAAACAACAGAGCGUCAUAGUAAGAUAGAGAUUCAACAGAACAAAUAAGUAAAAUAAGUGUUCAUGUCAAAAAACCUGAACCGAUACAGUCCUUUUCUUCUCUUCCUUUUUCAAUAUUUAAGUAUUAUGGGGGCAUUUGUUUAAUAGGAAUUUUUUUUUCUUUUUUCUGGCAGGUCAGUAAACCAAAGACAGACCACUUUGUGAUGUUCAUUCAUCGUGAGUUAUAGGCAGAAAGUUUAAGCUCAUCUGCUACUUCACGGUUUGAUUCAGCAAUGCACAAAUGUUUGUUGUGAAGAAAUAUUGCAAUUGCUUAGAAGCAAAUUACUUUGAAUCAGUUUGUCUGUUAGCCUAAAGACUAGCUUAAUUUAGCAAAACAAUAAUUUCAGGGACAUGGCGAGUUACAGGCUAAUGUUUUUUUUUUUUUUUUCCUGUGCAUUAUAAUGAAGGCUUUGUAAAAACUGCACAGCGUUUUUAGCUUUUUAAACAACAUACUCCAUCCUACACUAACUACGCACACAUUUCCUAUCACGUAUGCCUAUGAAAGACGAUCGAACCAAUCAGAGUAGGUGUGGGGCGGGGCGACACGUGCAGCCCCGCCCUGAUUUCCAGGCUGCAGACAGGGGCUUCUCGCAUACUGCUGCAUAAGAUUUUGUUUUUCUGAGGCUCCUCUAGGCAAUAGCGUCUGUCUGCGGACUGCAAGAGAGGGGCGUAACUGGAAGGAGGCAUAACUUGAAGAAAGGGGCGUAACUUGAAGUUGUCCAAAUCACACAGAACCACGCGAGAUGUCAAAACGAGAUGUUAUUGGCAAGAUGGCCGCUUGUAUAUUGACAAGGGACAGAUGAGACACACGAGUGUAUAUCCGGUGCAGAGUGACUGAUGAAGGAAUGCUGCCAUCAAAGACUCUCAAUCUUCUGUGGUGGAGCAGGACCUGCAAGACAAGGUGACAGCGACAUUUGUGGAAAAAAGGGAAAACCUGAAACAAAAGGAUAAAGCUGCUGUGAGCGCUGAGGAUGGAGAGUCCACAGCAGCAUCCUGGAAAUGAUCCAGUGCCAUGAAUGAGACGCUCCAACACUGCACCUGCCCUCAGCUGUGGUCUCUUCAUCAUCAGUGACCCCAGAGCCAGCGAGAACAUCUAGAGAAAGACCAAAAGACAUCGAGGAUGUGACAUUGGUCAAGUUUAUUCUGCUGGUCUCUGUUCAUACAGUGAAGGCUGACUUUCAGAAGCUUCACAAGCAUCAUCAAAAAAUAGUCAUGAAGCUUUUAUCGAAAGUGAUUUCCAGUGCUGUUAUUACAGGGACCUACAAUCCCCUGGAUCAACCUGGAGAAAAGAGCCUUGCUGAAGGACACGCCAGUGACGAACCAGCAACCUUCUGCUCACCAGUUCAGUGGUUUAGCCAACUACAGAAGUAGUGGUGCUCAUGGAGAGCAGCACACGAAUGUUUGAAGCAGACACAGAUUAUCCCGCACAUGUUCUCCUGCUCUUGCCUCAAGGUUGUGUGGUUCAGGGGUGUCAUCAUGGUCUUCCUCAUCCUCUGGGUCAACGAUGUCCUCAUUGAGAAGAGCAAGAUUGUGAAGCACAGCACAGCUGCAGAACUGGCUCAGCUGUGUUGAGAUGACUGUAGGAUGUGGGUUCACCGUCUGUAAAAACAUGAUUGUUAGAACAAUAAGUUUGAAUGAAGCUUUGUUUCAUCUGUUGUUGACUUGUAUAUUGUAUGUAUUUAUUGUGAUGCUUCCUUUUAUUCAUUCUUAUACUUAUUUAUUCAUGUUUCUUAUUGUUGUCAUUAAAUAAAAUAUAUUUUAAUGUAUUAAUUGCUUGACUGAAAAUUGAUGUAUUCACUUCGACUGCAUUUGUUCAACUAGUGUAUAUUCAUGUAUAGCCAU